UACGCUGGCGGCACGCCUAACACAUACAAGUCGAACGAAGUAGCAAUACUUAGUGGCAGACGGGUGAGUAACAUGUGGGUAUCUACCCUUUGGCCUGGAAUAACACGAGGAAACUUGUGCUAAUACCGGAUAAGUCUUUACGGAGAAAGCUUUAUGCACCAUUGGAUGAGCCCGCACUUGAUUAGUUUGUUGGUAGGGUAAUGGCCUACCAAGACUAUGAUCAAUAGCUGAUUUGAGAGGAUGAUCAGCCACAUUGGGACUGAGACACGGCCCAAACUCCUACGGGAGGCAGCAGUGGGGAAUCUUGCACAAUGGAGGAAACUCUGAUGCAGCGAUGCCGCGUGAGUGAAGAAGGCCCUUGGGUUGUAAAGCUCUUUCGUCGGGGAAGAAAAUGACUGUACCCGAAUAAGAAGGUCCGG
rnacentral:rRNA from 1 species